rnacentral:sRNA from 1 species
GAGGUCGCAGCACGCCGCUACCUGCAAGCCCGAAAGCUGAAAGCAGCUCUAGUGUGGCGCGUAGUCUUACUGAAUGCAGCUCUAGUGUGGCGCGUACUAUUUUACUUCAUCGCUGACGUUGAGUGAGAGGUGACCAAGCUCAGAUGCUGAGAUUAAGGCGGCCGGGCGAAACUCGCGACACCCUGCGAUUCCCGCUUAGCCAGCUGCGUAAAGUUGCCUACGCCAAGCGGGUGGCGUCCUGCUCGGCCACCUGGCGGUGGGCGUGGAGUUGACAGGCAGGCAGUGGGGGUCACGCCCGCAUGAAAGGCCAGAUCACCUGCAGGUCGCCAAGUUGCCGGGAAUCCCCCGCUCCGAGCAGUGUCAUGCCCAUCACAAAUAACCCUAUCGCAGCCGGGAGGAAGGCUCCCCUGUUCCUUUUUGCUGACGUGUCAUUUCUAAGUACUUUCUCCUACUCCAUAAAGACUUCAA